UACGUAGGGGGCAAGCGUUAUCCGGAUUUACUGGGUGUAAAGGGAGCGUAGGCGGCUUAGUAAGUCAGAAGUGAAAGCCCGCAGCUCAACUGCGGGACUGCUUUUGAAACUGUUUUUCUUGAGUAUCGGAGAGGUAAUCGGAAUUCCUAGUGUAGCGGUGAAAUGCGUAGAUAUUAGGAAGAACACCAGUGGCGAAGGCGGAUUACUGGACGACAACUGACGGUGAGGCGCGAAAGCGUGGGGAGCAAACAGG
rnacentral:rRNA from 1 species